CGGCGAGUGAAGCGGGAAGAGCUCAAAUUUGAAAUCUGGCAGUCUUCGAUUGUCCGAGUUGUAAUCUAUAGAGGCGUUUUCCGUGCCGGACCGUGUCCAAGUCUCCUGGAAAGGAGUAUCAAAGAGGGUGAUAAUCCCGUACUUAACACGACCACCGGUGCUCUGUGAUACGUCUUCUACGAGUCGAGUUGUUUGGGAAUGCAGCUCAAAAUGGGUGGUGAAUUCCAUCUAAAGCUAAAUAUUGGCGAGAGACCGAUAGCGAACAAGUACCGUGAGGGAAAGAUGAAAAGCACUUUGGAAAGAGAGUUAAACAGUACGUGAAAUUGUUGAAAGGGAAACGAUUGAAGUCAGUCGUGUUCUUUGGAUUCAGCCAGUUCUGCUGGUCUACUUCCUUGGAACGGGUCAACAUCAGUUUUGUCCGGUGGAUAAAGGUAGUAGGAAUGUGACUUCUCCGGAAGUGUUAUAGCCUAUUAUCACAUACACUGGGUGAGACUGAGGACUGCAGCUCGCCUUUAUGGCCGGCCUUCGGGCACGUUCGAGCUUAGGAUGUUGACAUAAUGGCUUUAAACGACCCGUCUUG
rnacentral:rRNA from 1 species